GUGGGGAAUCUUGCGCAAUGGGCGAAAGCCUGACGCAGCCAUGCCGCGUGGAUGAUGAAGGUCUUAGGAUUGUAAAAUCCUUUCACCGGUGAAGAUAAUGACUGUAGCCGGAGAAGAAGCCCCGGCUAACUUCGUGCCAGCAGCCGCGGUAAUACGAAGGGGGCUAGCGUUGCUCGGAAUUACUGGGCGUAAAGGGAGCGUAGGCGGACAUUUAAGUCAGGGGUGAAAUCCCGAGGCUCAACCUCGGAACUGCCUUUGAUACUGGGUGUCUUGAGUGUGAGAGAGGUGAGUGGAACUCCGAGUGUAGAGGUGAAAUUCGUAGAUAUUCGGAAGAACACCAGUGGCGAAGGCGACUCACUGGCUCAUUACUGACGCUGAGGCUCGAAAGCGUGGGGAGCAAACAGGAUUAGAUACCCUGUAGUCC
rnacentral:rRNA from 1 species